UAAUACGUAGGUGGCAAGCGUUGUCCGGAAUUAUUGGGCGUAAAGCGCGCGCAGGCGGGAUAUUAAGUCUGUUUUAAAAGUUCGGGGCUCAACCCCGUGAUGGAAUGGAAACUAAUAUUCUUGAGUGCAGGAGAGGAAAGUGGAAUUCCCAGUGUAGCGGUGAAAUGCGUAGAUAUUGGGAGGAACACCAGUGGCGAAGGCGACUUUCUGGACUGUGUCUGACGCUGAGGCGCGAAAGCCAGGGGAGUGAACGGGAUUAGAUACCCCGGUAAUCCUGGCCGUAAACGAUGGGUACUAGGUGUAGGAGGUAUCGACCCCUUCUGUGCCGGAGUUAACGCAAUAAGUACCCCGCCUGGGGAGUACGGCCGCAAGGUUGAAACUUAAAGGAAUUGACGG
rnacentral:rRNA from 1 species